rnacentral:rRNA from 1 species
GACGAACGCUGGCGGCGUGCCUAAUACAUGCAAGUCGAGCGAAUCUUCGGGAGCUUGCUCCCAAAGAUUAGCGGCGGACGGGUGAGUAACACGUGGGCAACCUGCCUAUAAGACUGGGAUAACUUCGGGAAACCGGAGCUAAUACCGUAUAAUUCCUUUCCUAUCAUGAGGGAAGGCUUAAAGCCGGCUUACGCUGUCACUUAUAGAUGGGCCCGCGGCGCAUUAGAUAGUUGGUGAGGUAACGGCUCACCAAGGCAACGAUGCGUAGCCGACGUGAUAGGGUGAUCGGCCACACUGGGACUGAGACACGGCCCAGACUCCUACGGGAGGCAGCAGUAGGGAAUCUUCCGCAAUGGACGAAAGUCUGACGGAGCAACGCCGCGUGAGUGAUGAAGGUUUUCGGAUCGUAAAACUCUGUUGUUAGGGAAGAACAAGUACGAGAGUAACUGCUCGUACCUUGACGGUACCGCAAGAAUAAGCCCCGGCUAACUUCGUGCCAGCAGCCGCCGUAAUAC